UGGGGAAUAUUGCACAAUGGGCGCAAGCCUGAUGCAGCCAUGCCGCGUGUGUGAAGAAGGCCUUCGGGUUGUAAAGUACUUUCAGCGGGGAGGAAGGGAGUAAAGUUAAUACCUUUGCUCAUUGACGUUACCCGCAGAAGAAGCACCGGCUAACUCCGUGCCAGCAGCCGCGGUAAUACGGAGGGUGCAAGCGUUAAUCGGAAUUACUGGGCGUAAAGCGCACGCAGGCGGUUUGUUAAGUCAGAUGUGAAAUCCUCGGGCUCAACCUGGGAACUGCAUCUGAUACUGGCAAGCUUGAGUCUCGUAGAGGGGGGUAGAAUUCCAGGUGUAGCGAUGAAAUGCGUAGAGAUCUGGAGGAAUACCGGUGGCGAAGGCGGCCCCCUGGACGAAGACUGACGCUCAGGUGCGAAAGCGUGGGGAGCAAACAGG
rnacentral:rRNA from 1 species